GAUGAACGCUGGCGGCGUGCCUAAUACAUGCAAGUCGAGCGAACAGACGAGGAGCUUGCUCCUCUGACGUUAGCGGCGGACGGGUAAGUAACACGUGGAUAACCUACCUAUAAGACUUGGAUAACUUCGGGAAACCGGAGCUAAUACCGGAUAAUAUAUGGUACAUCAUGGUUCAAUAGUAGAAGACGGUUUUGCUGUCACUUGUAGCUUAAUCAGCACCGCAUUAGGUAGUUGGUAACGUAACGGCUUACCAAUGCGACGAUGAGUAGCCGACCUGGGGGGGUGAUCGGGCGCACCGGAACGGAGAGACGGCCCAGAGGCCUAUGGGAGGCAGCAGUAGGGAAUAUUCCGCGAUGGGCGAAAGCCUGACGGAGCAAGGCGGCGUGAGUGAUGAAGGUAUUCGGAUCGCACAACUAUGUUAUUAGGGAAGAAAAAAUGUGUAAGUAACUAUGAACGUCUUGACGGUACCUAAUCAGAAAGCCACGGCUAAAUACGUG
rnacentral:rRNA from 1 species